GACGAACGCUGGCGGCGUGCUUAACACAUGCAAGUCGAACGGAAAGGCCCUGCUUUUGUGGGGUGCUCGAGUGGCGAACGGGUGAGUAACACGUGAGUAACCUGCCCUUGACUUUGGGAUAACUUCAGGAAACUGGGGCUAAUACCGGAUAGGAGCUCCUGCUGCAUGGUGGGGGUUGGAAAGUUUCGGCGGUUGGGGAUGGACUCGCGGCUUAUCAGCUUGUUGGUGGGGUAGUGGCUUACCAAGGCUUUGGCGGGUAGCCGGCCUGAGAGGGUGACCGGCCACAGUGGGACGGAGAGAGGCCCCAGACUCCGGCGGGAGGAAGAGGGGGGGAUUAUGGCACAAGGGGCGGAAGCUGGAUGCAGCAACGCCGGGUGGGGGAUGACGGCCUUGGGUUGGUAACCCGCUUCCGCCGGGGACGAAGCGGGAGGGAGGGUAGGGGGUAAAGAAAGACCGGCAAACUAGGGC
rnacentral:rRNA from 1 species